rnacentral:lncRNA from 1 species
UGGGAGGUACAACUAGGCAAAUGUGCCACGGAGGAGGUCACAGGACACCAUGACCAUGACGGUGUCCCUGUGACCAUGAUCCCUCUGCCACCUUUUCCCACUCCUGGGCUCCUGAAUAUCUGGGAACUUGAAUGUGAAGAAUGUGAUAGAAAAUAAGUUGUUUUUUUUUUAAAUCAGAAUCAGACCUUCUUUCCUCCUGGCUAAGCCACACAUUUCCUAGAGCUUCUGCUACAUGCGUCUCCCACGUUCUGAUGUGCAGGAUUCACAGCAGCACAUCACCUCCACAGCAGGCCAGGGGCGGCACGUACAGUCAGGGGAAAUGAGAGGCCACAGAAGAGCCGGCGUUUCCUUCCUCAGAUUUAAAUCUCAACAGUUCCCUUCUUACAUCAUGGAGGGGCGGCGUGGGGCAUGGAGCGGGAAGCCUACCACUGCCUCCCUCUGCUGCUCUUUUCCACCGGGGUUGGCCGUGCUGCAGGCCUGGGCUGCAAGGGGCUGUUUCCUGUUGUGAAUUGCUGCACUCCAUCUUCUCUUUCAUCAUCUGCACACACAUAAAUGCCUGGAGUCAAUUGCUGUGUGGAGUGUUAUUCUCCUAAGGAAAAUUUCCAUCUGUGUUAAGUGCAGUUUCAAUGUUUACUCUUCUUGAAGCCCGCGUUGCUAUUAAAUUUUCAUAAGUCACAGAAUUUCAUGGUGGAAAUGCACAGAAUCUGCUAGGAAUGACGUGACAUGUUAGAAGCGUACGGGGGAGAAGCACAAUUAUGUGGUCCUUUCCUCUCUUCCCCUCUAGUCAUUUUCAAUAAGUGGAGCUGGACGUUAGACCUGGGAGCCAGAGCCCGGCAUGGCUGCUUCUGCCUGAAAGCCGUCCUGGGAGGUCAGAACUCCCUCUCACCCCUGGGCCAAGGGUGGAAACUGUGGGGCAGAGGCACCCAGACUUAGGAAUGCCACACGGGAAGCGUGGUGUCACUGUGAGAUAAAUGCUCAUGGAGCGCAGGAGGAAGAACAGAGGCAGCACAGAGCUGACUUGCCUCUCCGCCCCGUUGCACAAGAGGGCUCGCCCACGUUCUGGAACCCGCCGAGGUCUGGAAGCUAAGCACCGUGUGCUGCCUGUAUGCAUUGCUGAACACUGACAAAGAGAUCGGCUGUGUCACAAGCUUUACCUGGAUAGGUGGCUUUAUUUCAU